rnacentral:rRNA from 1 species
ACAAGGUUUCCGUAGGUGAACCUGCGGAAGGAUCAUUAAAGAUUUUGGGCUUUUAACCCGAUCGUUCAGCUGUGCGCCUUUUACCGGGCUGCACGCUGGAGCAAGACCCCACACCUGUGCACCUUUUCGGUUGCGGCUUCGGUCGCUGCCGCUUUCAAAUGCAACAACUCAGUCUCGAAUGUUAACAAAACCAUAAAAAGUAACAACUUUCAACAACGGAUCUCUUGGCUCUCGCAUCGAUGAAGAACGCAGCGAAAUGCGAUAAGUAAUGUGAAUUGCAGAAUUCAGUGAAUCAUCGAAUCUUUGAACGCAUCUUGCGCUCCUUGGUAUUCCAUGGAGCAUGCCUGUUUGAGUGUCACGUAAACCCUCACCCCUGCGAUGUAACAGUCGCUCGCGGCGGACUUGGACUGUGCCGUAACCGGCUCGUCUUGAAAUGCAUUAGCUGGCGCUUUUAGAGUGCUGGGCGACGGUGUGAUAAUUAUCUGCGCCAAAUGCCUUAGGCCUCUUCAGCGGUGCUGCUUACAGCCGUCCCUCUGUGGACACAUUUUUUAAAUCUUUGGCCUCAAAUCAGGUAGGACUACCCGCUGAACUUAAGCAUA